rnacentral:misc_RNA from 1 species
GAUGUAUUUGUCCAUUUUUCUGCUAUUCAACAAGAUGGGUAUAAGUCAUUAGAAGAAGGGCAACAAGUAGAGUU